rnacentral:rRNA from 1 species
UGGGGAAUUGUUCGCAAUGGGCGCAAGCCUGACGACGCAACGCCGCGUGGAGGAUGAAGAUUUUCGGAUCGUAAACUCCUUUCGAUCGAGACGAAUUUCCUUGGGACGAAUAAUCCUGAGGCUUGACGGUACCGAGAGAAGAAGCCCCGGCUAACUCCGUGCCAGCAGCCGCGGUAAUACGGGGGGGGCAAGCGUUGUUCGGAAUUACUGGGCGUAAAGGGCUCGUAGGCGGCCAACUAAGUCAGACGUGAAAUCCCUCGGCUUAACCGGGGAACUGCAUCUGAUACUGGAUGGCUUGAGUUCGGGAGAGGGAUGCGGAAUUCCAGGUGUAGCGGUGAAAUGCGUAGAUAUCUGGAGGAACACCGGUGGCGAAGGCGGCAUCCUGGACCGACACUGACGCUGAGGAGCGAAAGCCAGGGGAGCAAACGG